UCCUGAUUUGAUUUGAGUGAGUCCUGAUUCUUGCUUCCACCUGCCUGCUCAUUGCACUGUAUAACAGAUCCUGGGUGUGACAGCUGUUUCCUAACUCAUUGAUGUGGUGUAGACGGCACUGCUGAGCUUGCCCGUGACUGACGCAUUUGGGUGAUGGCUGCACCAGUAAAACUGCGGAUUAUCCUUGGUUCCAACAAUGCUGAAAAACUGACCAUAGAAUCAGGCUUGCCAGCAUCUGUUGAGGAUCUUACAAAUGAGAUCAAACGUCAGUUUGAUAUAGAGGGGGACAUUAGACUCCAGUACAUGGACAGUGACUUUGACAACGAGUUUG